CCCUUAGAUGUUCUGGGCCGCACGCGUGCUACACUGAGUGGAUCAGCGGGUCAGGUUGCGCGAAAGCGUUUCCUAAUCUUUAAAUCCGCUCGUGAUGGGGAUUGACGGUUGCAAUUUUCUGUCAUGAACGAGGAAUACCUUGUAAGCGCGGGUCAUCAUCCCGCGCUGAAUACGUCCCUGCCCUUUGUACACACCGCCCGUCGCACCUACCGAUUGAAUGGUCCGGUGAAAUCUUUGGACCGUGACAUAGUUUUGCUUUCGGGCAAAACGUUGUCGUGGGAAGUUGAUUAAACCUUACCAUUUAGAGGAAGGUGAAGUCGUAACA
rnacentral:rRNA from 1 species